AAGCACGACUCUCGCGAGAACCGCUAAGCUCCGCCCAGCCUCCCAGCGACGUCCUUGCCGCCAUGUUGCUUAUGGGCAGUUUCCUGAAGCUGAGCUGACGGGCUGGAGAAUCCUACUCCGCGCUCCUGCGUUUGGAGGAUACCAGACUCCCGCUCCGCCCGGACCCGGUGCCCAGUGCUCUUGAGACCCGACGUCCAUGACCAAGCCUUACGAGUGACCUGCCCACCUUCAGGUCCACCCGAGGGAACGAGCACUGGGGACUUGUGCACCCACAAAGCCAGAGUCGUGAAGAUUACUCCGGGGGGAAAGGAAGAAUGCCUCUCUUCUUCCGGAAGCGGAAACCCAGUGAAGAGGCUCGGAAACGCCUGGAGUAUCAGAUGUGCCUGGCAAAAGAAGCUGGGGCAGAUGACAUUCUUGACAUCUCUAAAUGUGAGCUCUCAGAGAUUCCAUUUGGGGCUUUUGCAACAUGCAAAGUUCUACAGAAAAAGGUGUUGAUUGUCCACACGAAUCACCUCACUUACCUGCUCCCUAAAUCUUGCAGCCUCCUGAGUCUCGCAACCAUCAAGGUUCUGGAUCUUCACGAUAAUCAGCUGUCCGCUCUUCCCGACGAUAUAGGGCAGCUGACCGCCCUCCAGGUAUUGAACGUGGAAAGGAAUCAACUGACAUAUCUGCCACGUUCCAUUGGGAACCUGAUCCAGCUCCAGACCCUCAACGUGAAAGAUAACAAGCUGAGGGAGCUUCCCGACACCGUGGGGGAACUUCGAAGCCUUCGUACCCUUGACAUCAGUGAGAACGAGAUUCAGAGGCUGCCACAGCUGCUGGCGCACGUUCGAACCCUGGAAACUCUGAGCCUCGACGCCUCGUCCAUGGUUUACCCCCCACAGGAGGUGUGCAGUGCUGGGACCCAGGCCAUUCAGCAGUUCCUCUGCAAAGAGUCAGGGCUGGAAUACUACCCUCCUUCUCAGUACUUGCUGCCAGUCCUGGAGCAAGAUGGGGCUGACGCUUCCUGGGACAGCCCCGACGGCCCCACAGACAGAUUCUCCAGGGAGGAGGCAGAAUGGCAGAAUAGGUUCUCAGACUAUGAGAAGAGGAAGGAACAGAAGAUGCUGGAGAAACUCGAGUUUGAACGGCGCCUGGAACUCGGGCAGCGAGAACAUGCCCAGCUCCUUCAGCAGAGCAGCAGUCAGAAGGACGAGAUCCUUCAGACGGUCAAGGAGGAGCAGUCCCGGCUGGAGCAGGGCCUAAGUGAGCAUCAGCGCUACCUGGAUGCAGAGCGUCAGCGGCUGCAGGAGCAGCUGAAGCAAACGGAGCAGAACAUCGCCAACCGGAUCCAGAAACUCCUGCAGGACAAUCAGAGGCAGAAGAAAAGUUCUGAGAUCUUGAAGUCGCUGGAAAAUGAAAGGAUAAGGAUGGAACAGUUGAUGUCCAUCACUCAGGAGGAGACCGAGAACCUGCGGAGGCGUGAGAUUGCCUCCGCCAUGCAGCAGAUGCUGACCGAGAGCUGUACAAACCGGCUCAUCCAGGUGGCCUACGAGUCCCAGAGGCAGAACUUGGUCCAGCAGGCCUGUUCCAGCAUGGCCGAAAUGGAUGAGCGAUUCCAGCAGAUACUGUCAUGGCAGCAGAUGGAUCAGAACAAAGCCAUCAGCCAGAUCCUGCAGGAGAGUGCCAUGCAGAAGGCUGCGUUUGAGGCUCUGCAGGUGAAGAAGGACCUCAUGCACCGGCAGAUCAGGAAGCAGAUUAAGUUAAUAGAAACUGAGUUAUUGCAGCUGACACAGCUGGAGGUAAAGAGGAAGUCCCUGGACACAGAGGCAUUGCAGGAGAUGAUCUCAGAGCAGCGCUGGGCCCUGAGCUCCCUGCUCCAGCAGCUGCUCAAGGAGAAGACGCAGCGGGAGGAAGAGCUCCGGGAAAUCCUGACAGAGUUAGAAGCCAAAAGUGAAACCAGGCAGGAAAAUUACUGGCUGAUUCAGUAUCAACGGCUGUUGAACCAGAAACCCUUGUCCUUGAAGCUGCAGGAAGAAGGCAUGGAACGCCAGCUGGCGGCCCUCCUGGUGGAUCUGUCGGCUGAACACUACCUGCCCAUCUUUGCCCACCACCGCAUCUCCCUGGACACGCUGAGCCGGAUGAGCCCUGGGGACCUGGCCAAGGUGGGCGUCUCGGAGGCCGGCCUGCAGCACGAGAUCCUGCGGAGAGUCCGGGAGCUGUUGGGUGCGGCCAGGAUCCAGCCAGGUACCAACGCCAGGACACCUCCUGAGCAGAGGCCCCCACCUUACUUGUGGACUGUGGCUCGGGGCGUCCCCGGUUGACAUUUCAGGACGAGAACUGAGGGCCGGUCCUAGCCCCUGCCAGUCCUUAAGAUUCCCUCCCAAGGGAACAGGAUUUACAAACGGGAAAAACGGGCCACAGAAAUGGGGGAACAAAGAAGCUUCCUUGCAGAAGAGGCCCUCCUGGUUCCCUGUCCUAGAACCUUCCCUAAAGCUACUCUACAAACACAGGGAACCACACACCCAGAUCCUUGCAGUAGAGGGAGAAACCAGCCCUAGCCAGUGCCUGACACUGUGCCUCGGGCAGGCCUGUGGUUGGACGUGGAACAAGGUUCGUGGUGACCUGUGAAAGGGGUAAAGGCAGGUCAUGAAGCCACUCCAGCUGCGCCUGGAGGCCCGGGUGAGGUAGGUGUUGUGGCUGCUGUAGGAGUAGAUGGGCGUCGGGGAUCUCCUGUGUCCGAGCACAAUCCGGGUACGAGGCGUUUGUCAACCACUUUACAGGUACCGUGUCAUGGCACCUCUGGCAGGUGGGUGCCGCUGUUCCUUUCAUUUGAGAGAUGAGGGAACUGAGGCGGAGAGGGGCUAAUGUGGCUGCCGUAACCUCACACAGCUGGCGAGUGUAUGUAAACCUCAGUACAGCUGAGCUUGACUGCCUCCCUCGAGAAGAGGCCGAGGGGCCUUGGCAAGGGAAGCGGGCCUGCCCAAGGAUGAAGGCAGGGGGCGAGCCCGUGGCACUGCCAGCCUCAGACAGGGUCUGUUCAGGGGAGAGACUAAAGGUGGGGUGGCCAGACCAGAUGCAGGGGCGAGGCAGGAGCUCUGCUGCCGGCAGGGAGGAGGCCCUGGGUCCCCAGGUGUCUGGGCCAGUGGCAGCGCCAUGAUGUCCUCGGGCUCCAGCUCUCUAGCCAGUUUUAUUCCAGAGACACUGACCCAACCUAACCAAGUCCCUAAACUCACAGUCCUUUCAUUAGACACCUUCCUCCCCUUGCAGAUGUUUUCCAACCCUGAUCCCUCCUGCUGUCAGACUGGAGGUCAGGUUAAGUUUGACAUCAGGAAUUGGGGUCUCCUCAUCCCCCCCCACCAACAAAGAUUCCCUUCACUCUGAGCCCCUCCCCCUCCUGACACCUGCCUCCCACAGUCCCCCACCAUCCCCAGGGCGGCUUCCUGACUGUGUCCACCUGCAGGGAAGGCUGGGUGGGAUGGUUUCCUCUCAGCAGCAGAAGGGGCAGGAGACCUUCAGCCAUUUUCCUGACAUUUUCUUACUGCUCCCAGAACUUGGUAGGUGUCCCAUUACAUAUAGAAGAGCCCCUUGACGGUGAUGGUUUGGGGGCGCCAUGGUACCUACCUUUAGAGAGCCUAGUGUUGUAACAGCCUUAAAAAAUAUAUAUUCAGAUGUUUCCAAUUAUAAAAACUUCUCCUUCAAACCAUAGGGUAGAUGGAAAAAUGUGAGCCGUGAUCAGGAUGGGCGUCAGGGCUGCCGAAGACUCGGGGAUGGGGGUGUACUUUGCAUGAUAUGAAAGAGACUGCAUUUUAGCCACUGAACCCACCCAAGGGUGAGGUCCCUGGGGCCAUGGAGGUGCCCACUGCCCCCGAGGAGCUGCCUGAGUCCGUGAGCCCGUCUGCUCCCCCGGCAGAGCUGGAGGUGCAGACUUCAGAGUGCGUCGUGUGCCUG